UUGGGGAAUAUUGGGCAAUGGGCGAAAGCCUGACCCAGUAACGCCGCGUGAAGGAAGAAGGUCUUCGGAUCGUAAACUUCUAUCCUUGGUGAAGAUAAUGACGGUAGCCGAGAAGGAAGCCCCGGCUAACUACGUGCCAGCAGCCGCGGUAAUACGUAGGGGGCAAGCGUUGUCCGGAAUGAUUGGGCGUAAAGGGCGCGUAGGCGGCCUGGUAAGUCUGGAGUGAAAGUCCUGCUUUUAAGGUGGGAAUUGCUUUGGAUACUGUCGGGCUUGAGUGCAGGAGAGGUAAGUGGAAUUCCCGGUGUAGCGGUGAAAUGCGUAGAGAUCGGGAGGAACACCAGUGGCGAAGGCGACUUACUGGACUGUAACUGACGCUGAGGCGCGAAAGUGUGGGGAGCAAACAGGAUUAGAUACCCCGGUAGUCC
rnacentral:rRNA from 1 species